rnacentral:rRNA from 1 species
AGGUGGCAAGCGUUAUCCGGAAUGAUUGGGCGUAAAGGGUGCGCAGGCGGAUGUAUAAGUCUGAAGUAAAAGCCAUCGGCUCAACCGAUGUAAGCUUUGGAAACUGUAGAUCUAGAGUGCAGGAGAGGACAGUGGAAUUCCAUGAGUAGCGGUAAAAUGCGUAGAUAUAUGGAAGAACACCAGUGGCGAAGGCGGCUGUCUGGCCUGUAACUGACGCUGAGGCACGAAAGCGUGGGGAGCAA